GGCGAGUUAGCGAAGCGGCCAAACGCAUCUGACUGUAAAUCAGACGGUAUCACCUUCGCAGGUUCGAAUCCUGCACUCGCCA
rnacentral:tRNA from 1 species